rnacentral:lncRNA from 1 species
AUGCCCGGGCCCGCUUCAGAGGCCAAUUUUGAGGGGUGCAGUAUGGCACCACGCCGCGAUCCUCCGGCCCAGUGGUCACACUCGGAUGGGCCCCGGCAGGGGCAGGGUCCCGGGGAUGUGACAUUUGGAUCCAGGGCGCUGUUUCAACAAAGGAGAGAGGAAAGGAAGAUUGGUGUUAUUUUUUCUUUUUUUUUUCUUAGCGGUGGUGAGCGCUUCAGCAACAGCUCAACUCUGCUUUGUCCCUCAUAUUUCUUUCUCCUUCCUUUACACACACACACACACACACACACACACACACCCACACACACACUCAUUCUCUCUCUUUCUCUCUCUCUCUCCCUCUUUCUUGCUCUCUCUCGCUCUCUUACAGUAUCACACACAAGCUCUCACAGAUCACUUCUCUCUUUCACUGUGGUCGCAAACACACACACACACACACACACACACACACACACACACACACUCACACACACACAGACACAAACAGCUUCACCCCCUCAACCUAUUCCUCACCUUUCAAUAGACAGACACACAAGCACAAACACAAACACACACACUCACAGAGAGUGCGUCAGAGCGCAUGGUAGACUCAUAAAGAUAAUCCCUCACUCUCAUAUGUCCGUCAUGUUUUAUGUGUGCAUACACACACACACACGCCCCCCCCCCCACACACACACACACACACACACACACUCACACACACACACUGACUCACAUUUUGUUUCUCACCUUUCAACUCAUUCUAACAAAUAUUCUUCCCCUUUCACCAUGCUUUUCAGUCUUUUUGGCUGCACACACACACACACAAUUCACAUAAGCCCUUUUUACAUUUGUGAGAAAAUUCAUACACUAAAUAUGCAUAUCAGCAAGAGCUCCUUCACAUCCAUUGUAACUAUAAAAAAGAGGCCUUUCAUUACAGUUAGCAGACAACUGAGAGCAUAUUACAGCACAUUUACUCCAGAGGCAGGCCUGUCUGUAGCAGUGGAGAGAAAACAGCUAGCGUUGAUGCAUUUAAACUGUGACAUUACACUAACACGGAAAUGA